UGGUAGAUUGGGGGAGCUCACUAAGCUUCGUGCUUACGGUUUUCAGUUUUGGUUUCAGGUACUCAGUUUUCAAAAGAGGAGCUCGGGAAGAUUGCAGUGCACACACCAUAGUCAGUUAGCCUGGGAAUGUUUGACUCUGAUAAUGAGAUUAUGUUUUGAAUUAAUACUCUAAAAAUUAUGUUAUGACUUAUGAUACAGUUUUGUAAAUAUGGUUUUAGUAAUGUUUUAAAAGAAAUUUUUAGUCGUGAUUUUUGGGUCGUUACAAGUUGGUAUCAGAGCCUUGGUUUGAGGGAUUCGGGCGCACUCCCGAGUGUGUCUGAACUCAAACUAAGGAAGUGGUAUAUAGUUUUCAAAAGAAAAAUCGUAGUUACAAAAGAAUUUUGAGAAAAGAAAACAAUUUUAGAAAAAGUGUAAAGAAAAGAGUUUUAGAAAAAGCAAAAAGAGUUUUGAAAAGAGAAAAGGGUGUGGUGCAUGCAAUCAGCCGAGCUCAAGUAAGUACUCCCAAAUUACCCAUACAAGUUAUGUUAUGAUUAUCAGUUUCAGUUUCAGUUUCAGUUUCAGCUUCAGUUUCAGUAGAACAGCAUGCUAGAAUAAGACUAAGGAUCUAGGAUGAUGCCUUAUGUGCCUGCUUUAUGUGUUUCAGCUUGAUAAGAAUUUCAUGCUAGUAAUGAGUAGACAGUAGUAGGAUAGCCUGUGUAGGUUAUGCCUGAUAGUAUGAGCUUAGCAUUGUAUGCUAGUACAGUUUCUUGUUAUGAGAAUAGUUUUGCCUGAGUAUGUUUCCUUUAUCCGAAUGUUGCUUGCUUUAUGCUUUGUGGGACUCUGAGUGAUGGGAGUUAGCCAUUAUGUGAAUACGUCACAUCACAUGUGAGCAGGGUUGAAUAAUCUCAGAGUGUUGGAUUUGGCCCUAUUGCGCAGCUCUCGUUUGAGUCUAACCGUUGUAGGGACGAGACUUCUACUCGAAGGAUUAUCCGAGCCUCAUUGCAUGUGAUGGUAUUCAGGUGGUGGCUAACUGGCAUUACAAGGAGGCCUUCAGUAGCUGAGGAUUUGGUUGGGGUGGAGUCAGAGGUUCCCUAGGGCAAGCCUAGGAUGAGAGUAGCAGAGAUCAGUAGUAGAGAAAAGGGGACUUGGUGGACUUGAGGUAACUCUUGAGGAAAGUACGGAUAGAUGUGGAAGGUAGUAUGGGACCGUACUACUGAAAGCAGAGGAUCCGUACUCGAUUCAAGAGGGACCAAGGCAAAACCAGGGAACUAGUAGAGUGUGUGAGAGAUCCCUCAGCAGUAGUGUGUAUAUUGAUCAGGAAUUGUUAUAUUUUCAGCAUGCUGACGUUGCGCGAGAUAUCAGUUGGCAGUUCAGGUGCCGGGGAGGGGUCUGGCUCAGGCUCUAGAGCCGGGCAGCUUGAGGAUCAGAUGAGGGAUUUCAUUUCCGCAGAGAUCAUGCGCAACGUCAUUGAUCAGACUCCAGUGAUUUUCGGUUCAGUUAGAGAGGCCAUUGUGGAGCUCAUGGACAGUUAUCUUGAGGCCUUUAAGGCCGGGAUAGUUUCAGGACAGAUUGGGGCUCGUCUAGACCCCGAUUCUUAUGGAGUUCAAGGAUCCAUCAGGAAAGGAGAUCCCAUUUCUAGUUUUUGCCAUCAGGGGACAGGUGGGGCACCCUGUCUCCAAGAGAGACCUUUGCAUGAUUGGAUAGUAGAGGAGGUUACGCGAGCCAUUUGCGAGAAUCUGCCCGACAUGGUUGUGAGGAUCACUGAUCGGUUGAUUGCGCAGCUCCAGGAUCACAUAGUUGUUGUUCAGUCAACGGGCGGUGUCGACAAGGUAACGUAGGAGCGAGAGACGGGCAGGGAAUCGGAAAGGAAGAGGAUAACGGAUGAAACUCAGGGAGCCACAGGAUCGGGCAAGAGACCCAAGGGGUCAGAUUUGAGGACGAGGAACUAUCAGAGCCACAGUCGAUGCAGGAAGUGUCGUAGGACGCACAUGGGUACAUGCAGGCGUAGAAGUGGGGGUGAUGCUGGAUGUUUCAAGUGUGGCCAGAUUGGCCAUUUUAGCAGAGAUUGUACUGAUACCAUCACCCAGGGACUUGAUCCGAUAUGUUUCCAUUGCAGUCAGAGGGGCCACAAGAAGGCCCACUGUCCGAGUUUGUAUACAGCAGGGCAGGUGCCAGCUCCUACCCUUGGGACUUCAAGUACCGCCAGUGGUUGCCGAGGCCGGGCAAGGGCGCCCACGGCUCGGAGCCGAGUUUUCCGGUUGAUUUCAGCAAGGAUUCGAGCAGCGCUGAGUGAUGGAGGUAUGUAUCUUUUACCUCCCUGUCAAUUAUUAUUCAUAUUAUUAUUUGUUAUGUUGUUGCAUUGAUAUCAAUAAGUAUAUGUGUUGGGGGUAUUAUAUUACCUACUUGUGACGGAGUGUUAUGCCAUCUGCAUACCAUGGGAUUAGAAUGGUGAAUUGGAGGUCGUUCCCUCUAGAUCAGGUUACUUCAGAUGCGGUGACUGUAACAUGUAUGUGUAAGAUUCAGUAGUGCCUUACUACUUGCGGAAGGCGUUAGUCGGGUAAUGAUCAGUUAUAUUCUCAGUAGUGAUAAUCCAGAGUUUUUAGUGGAGUAGCUAGCGGUCAGUAAGGAAGUGGGUUGGGGAUGUGCACCCCAAACGCAGGUUCUCGGGAUGUAGUCCCUAAAGCAAAUACAGUUAAGGAUCGAAGGGUGCUCAGUCAGAUAGCAAGAAGGGUGCGGAUCUGGUAAGAGUUAGUUGGAGCGCUGGCAAGGGUAAACGUUGGCGGACAGCAUAUCGCCCUUUUAAUGGAAGGAAGGUUGGGAAUCCUUUCGACCAGUGAGCAGUAAGGAAUUAGCCGAAUCCAAGUGGGGGAGAACCCUCCGAGUAUACAAGGAUAAGAGCCACGUAGACCCAGAAUGAGUGCGCGGCCUCUGAGAAGAAAAGAUAGUAGCACAGUGAUUGAUGGAUUGAGAAGUUCAGAAUUGGGAGUUCGAGGACCUUCCCAACAGUUAGUUCAUGUAAUCGAGAUGGUUAGAAGCUGGUUGGGAAUCCAGGAUUGGAGGACCACCUGUAGGGCUCAAGUGAGUCGGAAUGAGGAUCCUGAGAACGGUUAGCAAGAGAUGCUUUCGUAUUAGUAGCCAGUGACAGAGUCAGCAUGCAGAAUUGUGUAGAUUCAGGAGUUGGGAGUUUGGAAACUUCCCAACAAUAGCUUCUUGUAUCCGGAUUAGUAGACGGUUGGUUUGGGAACCAAGCCGAAGAAUUCCUCGACGAAGCGCUAAGUAUAUCAAGGAUAUAAGAUGUCGAGGUUGAUGCAGUAUUCAAAGACUGAGGGCUGGUUUUGAGAAAUCAGGAUGAGGAAUCCCUAGCAGGACUAGGGAUAGUCAGGAUGUCAUCAGAUAGUAGUAGUAGUGUUGUAAGUCUGCGGGGGUAGCCGUAGCAUUCACUAGCAGUCAGAAAGUAGUAGAGUGUUGUAAGUCUGCGGGGGUAGCUGUAGCAUUCACUAGCAGUCAGAUAGUAGUAGUGGUGUUGUAAGUCUACGGGGGUAGCUGUAGCAUUCAAUAGCAGUCAGAUAAUAGUAGUAGUAUUGUAAGCCUACGGGGGUAGCCGUAGCAUUCACUAGCAGUCAGAUAGUAGUAGUGGUGUUGUAAGUCUGCGGGGGUAGCCGUAGCAUUCACUAGCAGUUAGACAGUAGUAAAGUGUUGUAAGUCUGCGGGGGUACCCGUAGCAUUCACUAGCAGUAAGAUAGUAGUAGUGGUGUUGUAAGUCUGCGGGGGUAGCCGUAGCAUUCACUAGCAGCCAGAUAGUAUUAGAGAGUUGUAAGUCCGCGAGCGUAGCAGUAGCCUUUAUCAGAUUGGUAGGCAGCAUGAGCACGUUGUUGGACGCGGGAAAGCAGUAGUACCCACCAGUUCGGGUGCAGUAGUGAGGAUAUGGGAAUCCACGGGUUAGAUUCUGGAUUUCCCAAAUGGUUCAGUUAUGGUUAAGUCGACGAUUUGUCAGUAGAUCGUCACCACAGUUAUGAGAUCAGAGUAGCAGUGGACCGUUGGGGUUCGGGUAUGUUAAGGGAUACCGUUAGUCUGGGAGCCAUCAUAUUGUUAGUCGUGGAAUUGAUGACGUCAGGAUGUGACGCAAGGACCUGAUCGGUGGAUCGGGAGGUUGUUAGAUCCACAGUGACAGGAUAACUAGUGGAAACUAGUUCUAGAGAAAGAUUUCGUUCAAGAAGUCGUGGGAGCGACUAAGUAAGGAGUCCUUUGACUCCACAGUUGAGUUGGAACUCAGUGUUUCAGUCAGUUCAGUGUAUCAGGCAGUUCAGUGUUUCAGGCAGUUCAGUGUAUCAGGUAGUUCAGUGUUUCAGGCAGUUCAGUAUUUCAGGCAGUUCAGUGUAUCAGGCAGUUCAGUGUUUCAGGCAGUUCAGUGUAUCAGGUAGUUCAGUGUUUCGGGCAGUUCAGUGUUUCAGUCAGUUCAGUGUUUCGGGCAGUUCAGUGUUUCAGUCAGUUCAGUGUUUCGGGCAGUUCAGUGUAUCAGGUAGUUCAGUGUUUUGGGCAGUUGAGUGUUUCAGUCAGUUCAGUGUUUUGGGCAGCUCAUUGUUUCACGCAGUUUAGAGUUUCAGGCAUGUUCAGUAUUGCAGGCAGUUCAGUGUUUGGAUAGUUUCAGAGUUUUGGACAGUAUUAGUAUUUGUGUUGGAAUGCAAGUGCUGACGGUAUAGUUGGUUGGUUGGAAACGAAAAAUCCCUCUCAGCAGGAUCAGUUGCGUCCUUCUGCCAAGUAUAAGUGAUAUGUAGGGAUAGCUAGGCAGGUAGCUUUUCUUUCAGGAUGAAAGGCUCGAGUUAGUAGGAAUUGAGUAGUCAAAUGAGAGAUAAGUAGGCUGGUUCCAGCAGCAUCGAUUCAGUAUGGAUGGCAGAAUGGAUAUAACAGUUAUAGAUAGUCGAAGUAUCUUCAGGAGUCGCUGGAAGCGACUAGGAGAUUGCGAUGGAGUGUAGUGACCGGUGGGAGUCCGGUAACUCAGAUAUCGGCAGAUUAGUUGGACCAGGGUGGUCUCAGUGCAUCCAGUAGGUGGAUGAGGGGUAACAGAAUUUUCAGUCGGAGGAAGUAACGUUGAGGAAAUUAUGGAAAAGAGAAGAAUUCAGUAUGUACCAACAGUAGUGACCAGCACUGUGAGUGGCUGGAGUGAUGGACAAAAGGGUGUUAGUUUUCCCAGACAGAGAGUUGGAGGCAGUUCGUAGGACAGUUGGCCACAGCAAACUUCGAGGACGAAGUUUAGUUUAAGUGGGGGAGAGUUGUAACACCCGAGAUCAGAAAGGCCAAGAAAAAGAAAGAAACCCUAAGUCAAGUAGUGGACUCGUCGAGCCGGGGAGGAACUCGACGAGUCGGAGCAGGGUCCAGGGGAUCGAGUAAGUGACCAACUCGGCGAGUAGGCUGGUGAACUCGGCGAGUUGGGUCUGAACGAGGAAACCCUAAUUUCGGGACUUGGUACCCUAUUUAAGCAUCUUAAUCUCUUCCCUAGGGCUCAUUUGCGGCCCUAUAGUCCAGAACCAGAAACCCUAAGCCUCCAUUGUUGCUCAAUCAAGCUUUCUUGCCAAUUUGGGUGAUUUGAAGGAAGAAGGAGGAAGGCACACAUUGGGGAUUCAAGAAUUGGCAGUAGAUCCAGAGUUUGUGAGGUCUUCCAGAGCUUUUGAAGGUAAUGAGUCGCUACCUUCCCUCUUUUGCAUAUAGAUCAACCUUUAUCAUGGGAUUUGGGGCUUUUAGGACAAGUUUAUGAACCAUUUCGAGUUAGAAGCCCAGAUCUGAAGUUGCUACUUCAGAUCUAUGUGUAUCUUGGCCUAAAGAAUCAUAAAGCAUCAGUCUAUGGGUUGAUUGUUGAGCCCCUUUGUCUCAAACCCUAUUUUAUAGUGAUUUGAGCCUAGAUCUCGUUAGCUACACGUAAAGUUUGCCACUUUACGUAAGGAAUAGGCUUUAGAAGAGUGGAUCUACAGUUUAGAGUCCAUGCAUGACUCAAAAGUCCUCUGCAUGUAUGUAGAUCUGAAUGAACUCGGCGAGUCCUUCGAGUGGACUGGGCGAGUAGCAUGAAGAUGAGGAGGAACUCGACGAGUGGGAUGAACAACUCGUCGAGUCGGAUGAAGUUGGGCAUGAACUCGGCAAGUUGGAAGAACAACUCGACGAGUUUGUUGAAGAUUGCCUUGGGCUCGGCGAAUCUAUUCGUGGACUCGACGAGUUAGGUCACGAAACCCCAAACCCUUCGAGUUGAGACUCGAAUCAGUGAGUCGGGUGGAGACUCAACGAGUUAGACAGGACAGGACUCAGUAAUCAUUGGACUCGGCGAGUCAUGGACUGACUCGGCGAGUCUAGUCGCGAAUAGAAGGACCCUGAGCAUAUGAACUCGGCGAGUCAGUAGGUGGACUCGGCGAGUAGGGUUGACUUGGAAGGUUGACUAUGACCAGGACUUUGACUUAGUUGACUUUUAGAGGACUGUCAGACUAAGUGUCAUAUUGGUAUUUGAAGCUCGGAGAGCUAGAGGAGCAGCGGCUCAGGGGAUUGUCGAGUAGCAGCCAGAGGAUUAUCGGCAGAGCUCAGCAGUUCAGGUGAGUUUCCUUCCAGUAGGAACGGGUCUAAGGCCACAAUGCCCGCCCGUUUAGCUAGUAGUAGUUUCCGGAUUUGAUCCGAUGCAGUAGUUAAUAUGUUUGAUGCCUUCGUGGCUCAGACAUGAUUUAUGUGUAAUGUGUUCCGGGCUACGGCCCGAUGUAGUAUGCAGUAUAUGUGUGUUCAUGCUAGUUGAUAUGCUAUGUUCUGUUCAGUUAGUUUCGGACUUCGGUCCGAUGCAGGGGCAAGGCCCCAGUUAGUCCGAACUUCGGUCCAAUGCAGGGGGCAAGGCCCCAGUUAGUCCGAACUUCGGUCCGAUGCAGGGGACAAGGUCCCAGUCAGUUUCCGGAUUUCAGUCCGAUGCAGGGGGCAAGGCCCCAGUUAGUCCGGACUUCGGUCUGAUGCAGUGGGCAAGGCCCAAUAUGUGCUUUAUAUGUUUUUGUGUGGUAUGUGGUAGAUUGGGGGAGCUCACUAAGCUUCGUGCUUACGGUUUUCAGUUUUGGUUUCAGGUACUCGGUUUUCAAAAGAGGAGCUCGGGAAGAUUGCAGAGCACACACCAUAGUCAGUUAGCCUGGGAAUGUUUGACUCUGAUAAUGAUAUUAUGUUUUGAAUUUAAUACUCGGAAGUUAUGUUUGACUUAUGAUACGUUGUUAUAAAUCUAUUUUUAGUAAUGUUUAAAAGAAAUUUUUAGUCAUGAUUUUUGGGUCGUUACAAGUUGGUAUCAGAGCCUUGGUUUGAGGGAUUCGGGCGCACUCCUGAGUGUGUCUGAACUCAAACUAAGGAAGUGGUAUAUAGUUUUCAAAAGAAAAAUCGUAGUUACAAAAGAAUUUUGAGAAAAGAAAACAAUUUUAGAAAAAGCAAAAAGAGUUUUAAAAAGAGAAAAAGGUGUGGUGCAUGCAAUCAGCCGAGCUCAAGUAAGUACUCCCAAUUUACCCAUACAAGUUAUGUUAUUAUUUUCAAUAUCAGUUUCAGUAUCAGUUUCAGUUCAGUUUCAGUUCCAGCUUCAGUAGAACAGCAUGCUAGAAUAGGACUAAGGAUCUAGGAUGAUGCCUUAUGUGCCUGCUUUAUGUGUUCCAGCUUGAUGAGAAUUGCAUGCUAGUA
rnacentral:lncRNA from 1 species